rnacentral:tRNA from 1 species
GGUGAAGUGCCGGAGUUAAACGGACUGCGAUGAUGAUGCAGAUUAUGGGAAUGGCUAAGUCUCCUUCACCU